rnacentral:rRNA from 1 species
CGGCGAGUGAAGCGGCAACAGCUCAAAUUUGAAAUCUGGCGUCUUCGGCGUCCGAGUUGUAAUUUGUAGAGGGUGUCUCGGGUGGAGAACCGGUCCAAGUCCCUUGGAACAGGAUAUCAUAGAGGGUGAGAAUCCCGUAUCCGGCCGGUCCCCUCCCCCGCUGUGAGACCCCUUCGACGAGUCGAGUUGUUUGGGAAUGCAGCUCUAAAUGGGUGGUAAAUUCCAUCUAAAGCUAAAUACUGGCCAGAGACCGAUAGCGCACAAGUAGAGUGAUCGAAAGAUGAAAAGCACUUUGAAAAGAGAGUCAAACAGUACGUGAAAUUGUUGAAAGGGAAGCGUAUGCGGCCAGACUUGCCCGCGGUUGCUCACCCCGUCUUCUGGCGGGUGCACUCUUCCGCGGUCAGGCCAGCAUCGGUUUGGGCGGCGGGAUAAAGGCGCUGGGAAUGUGGCCCCUCGGGGUGUUAUAGCCCGGCGUGCAAUGUCGCC